GACGGAGGAUGCAAGUGUUAUCCGGAAUCACUGGGCGUAAAGCGUCUGUAGGUGGUCAAAUAAGUCAACUGUUAAAUCUUGAGGCUCAACCUCAAAAUCGCAGUCGAAACUAUUAGACUAGAGUAUAGUAGGGGUAAAGGGAAUUUCCAGUGGAGCGGUGAAAUGCGUAGAGAUUGGAAAGAACACCGAUGGCGAGGGCACUUUACUGGGCUAUUACUAACACUCAGAGACGAAAGCUAGGGUAGCAAAUGGG
rnacentral:rRNA from 1 species